rnacentral:tmRNA from 1 species
AGCCUUUACAUCUUAUUAUGAUUGAUGUAAUAUAAAAUUGCUAUUUUUGUAGCUAUAGUAAUAAACGUAAUUUAGAAUAGAGGUUGCGGACCCGGGGGCGGUACCCGGCGCUUCCACCAAAAAGUUGUAGUAUAUUUUGUAAGCAAAACUUUAUGGGGGCGAAAUAGGAUCGACGUGCUUAAUAAAAAAAUUAUCUUUACUCGGUAUAAUUCCGCCGGACCUUGUGUCUUUGGGUUAAAAAAAAGAAACGCAAAUGAUAAUGAACGUUUCGUAGGAAAUCAAGCACUAGCUGCUUAAUCCUACGCGGUUGGGGGCUUAACCGGGCAACAGAAAAAGCCCCACU